rnacentral:tRNA from 1 species
UGUUCUGUGGCUUAGUUGGUUAAAGCACCGGUCUAGCGAAUACGGAGUCGCGGGUUCGAGCUCCACCAGAACGC